rnacentral:rRNA from 1 species
UGGGGAAUAUUGCACAAUGGGCGAAAGCCUGAUGCAGCAACGCCGCGUGCGGGAUGACGGCCUUCGGGUUGUAAACCGCUUUCAGCAGGGACGAAGGUUUUCUGACGGUACCUGCAGAAGAAGCACCGGCUAACUACGUGCCAGCAGCCGCGGUGAUACGUAGGGUGCGAGCGUUGUCCGGAAUUAUUGGGCGUAAAGAGCUUGUAGGCGGUCCGUUGCGUCGGAAGUGAAAACUCAGGGCUUAACCCUGAGCCUGCUUUCGAUACGGGCGGACUUGAGGGAUGUAGGGGAGAACGGAAUUCCUGGUGGAGUGGUGGAAUGCGCAGAUAUCAGGAGGAACACCAGUGGCGAAGGCGGUUCUCUGGACAUUUCCUGACGCUGAGAAGCGAAAGCGUGGGGAGCAAACAGGCUUANAUACCCUGGUAGUCCACGCCGUAAACGGUGGCACUAGGUGUGGGACCCAUUCCACGGGUUCCGUGCCGUAGCUAACGCAUUAAGUG